CAAUAGCGUAUAUUAAAGUUGUUGCAGUUAAAACGCUCGUAGUUGAACAUCUGCCCUUUUCCGGUUAGGUCCGCUCUGCGUGCACCUUCCGAAAUCGGCAUCCGUCUGCGUUGCUUCGCAUUGCAGGCCGUUCACUUUGAGGAAAUUAGAGUGUUCAAAGCAGGCUUACGCCUUGAAUACUUCAGCAUGGAAUGAUUGAUAGGACUUCUAUCCUAUCUUGGUUCUAGGGACAGAAGUAAUGGUAAACAGGGUUGGUUGGGGGCAUUCGUACUGAACAGUCAGAGGUGAAAUUCUUAGAUUUGUUCAAGACGAACAACUGCGAAAGCAUUUGCCAAGGACGACCCCAUUAA
rnacentral:rRNA from 1 species